GUCAUUGAGGAGGAGAGCACAGGAGAUGAGGUCAGAGGAGGAAGGCGAGAUCACGCAGGUCUCGGAGACCAGGCCAGUAGCUGGAUUUAUGACACUACAAUGAUGGCUAAUGUGCCAAUACCCAUAGGAACCUGUAUCCAGGAUCACGGUACCUGUGAAUAAAGUGCAGCUGCUCCAGGUAGACACAGCCUUUUGAAAUAUCUACACACAGGUCUACAAGGUCAACCAAGAGGAACAAUUCAGACAGGCAAAUUCGGCUACAACUGUUUCCUCAAGAUGUCAAAGCAAAUAAAUUCCAAUUGAAUAACUAGAACCACUGCCUCAGGUCUUCCCGUUAAGAUGUCUUUCAUCAGUUUUCAUGCUCAACAACUAACUCUAACACUGAAGUCAAGUUUACCAAGACAAGGGAUAUUUUCAUUGGCAUCACUGUACCUAAGAGAACUCUCUCUUACUCAGUCUACUUCAACCAUUCCCACAUAUUUAGAAGACCAUUAGCAUGUUUAACCUUUUGCACUCGGAUGUCGAGUGUGACUCGACACGGUUAGCAUCGGCAGCAGCUCGUAUGUCGAAUUGUAUUGAAUGUAUCAAUAAUUUGAAAUAUAAAAAAACUCCAAAUAAAUAAGUUUGUAUGAAAAGAAACUCCAGUUUUUCAUUCUACUGCCGUGCUUUGUAAAAUCUGGGGUAUUUAAAAAAUUAAAUCCCGAGUAGAAUAAAGGAAUCGAGAAUAAAGCAAGCGAGUGCAAAGGGUUAAAGCUGGUCAGCUUCAGAAGUCACUUGCAAAACACAUGUUUUAUUGAAGGUAAAAGGAAAACCUUUUGCUGGAGGACUGCCUGUGCCCUGACUUGGAAGACUGGAUUCUAUAAAGUACUUGACAUUACAGACAUAUUCCUAUUUAGACUUCAGCCAUGCUCAUUUGGGGCAUGAUCUAUUAUGUCAGGUGAUUUGGAAUGUUAAAAGUCUACCAAUCAGAUGUAAAAGCUUCCUACCCAUACCAAGGGAAAAUUAUUUUAGAGCUGCCCUGAUACCUCAUCAGAUAUGCCUCCUUCAGGAAUUCAAUCUUUUCUUGGUCUGUGGAGCCCUUCUUCAAAGUCUGUGCAACAUAAAAACAAGCCAAGAAUCAGUAUAGCAGACAUUUCUGUGAGCUCAGUGGAUUAAUGGAGAUAAUCUUUGUUUUGUUUUAUAAUAUCCACCUUGAAAUUGCAAAAUAAAUAAUGGAUAGUGCAUGUGCAUGUACUAUGUAAACCUAAUCAAAAGAUAGCUCCUGUUAUUGGAAGUAUUUAAGUGAAAUAUCUGAUAGAUAAAAGAUCUAGUAAUAUUUACACAAAGUCUCUCCAAAAUG